rnacentral:rRNA from 1 species
CUCCUCCUGAUAAAAAUAGGAGGUACCGUCUGCCCUAUGCGUUUGUAAAUGGCCGCAGUAUCUUGACUGUGCUAAGGUAGCAUAAUCAUUAGUCUUUUAAUUGGAGGCUGGUAUGAAUGACGAGACGAGAAAAAAGCUGUCUCAAAAAUAAGUUUUGAAUUUUAUUUCUGAGUGAAAAAGCUCAGAUAAUUUUGAAGGACGAUCAGACCCUUUGGAGCUUUAUUUGUUUACUAUCUCAGCUUUUUUUAAAUGGCUAGAUUUAAAAGCAAAUUUUGUUGGGGCGACAUAGAGUCAAAAACAACACUCUUCUUUUAAAACAAAAAUAAUUGGACUACUGAUCCUUAAAGUAAGAUUAAAAGACUAAGUUACCCUAGGGAUAACAGCGUAAUUUUUUUGGAGAGUUCUAAUCGAUAAAAAAGUUUGCGACCUCGAUGUUGGAUUAAGAGAUUAACAAGGUGUAGAAGCUUUGUUGGAAAGUGCUGUUCGACUUU